AUACGGGGGGUGCAAGCGUUGUUCGGAAUCAUUGGGCGUAAAGGGUUCGUAGGUGGAAUUAUAAGUCUGGUGUGAAAGCCCACAGCUCAACUGUGGAACUGCACUGGAUACUGUUUUUCUUGAGUUAUAGAGGGGUUUGUGGAAUUUCUGGUGUAGAGGUGAAAUUUGUAGAGAUCAGAAAGAACACCGGUGGCGAAGGCGACAAACUGGCUAUUAACUGACACUGAGGAACGAAAGCGUGGGGAGCGAACAGGAUUAGAAACCCUAGUAGUCC
rnacentral:rRNA from 1 species